rnacentral:rRNA from 1 species
UACGUAGGGUGCGAGCGUUAAUCGGAAUUACUGGGCGUAAAGCGUGCGCAGGCGGUUCGUUGUGUCUGCUGUGAAAUCCCCGGGCUCAACCUGGGAAUGGCAGUGGAAACUGGCGAGCUUGAGUGUGGCAGGAGGGGGGUGGAAUUCCGCGUGUAGCAGUGAAAUGCGUAGAGAUGCGGAGGAACACCGAUGGCGAAGGCAACCCCCUGGGCUGACACUGACGCUCAGGCACGAAAGCGUGGGGAGCAAACAGG